rnacentral:rRNA from 1 species
AUUGAACGCUGGCGGCAGGCCUAACACAUGCAAGUCGAACGGUAACAGAAAGCAGCUUGCUGCUUUGCUGACGAGUGGCGGACGGGUGAGUAAUGUCUGGGAAACUGCCUGAUGGAGGGGGAUAACUACUGGAAACGGUAGCUAAUACCGCAUAACGUCGCAAGACCAAAGAGGGGGACCUUCGGGCCUCUUGCCAUCGGAUGUGCCCAGAUGGGAUUAGCUAGUAGGUGGGGUAAAGGCUCACCUAGGCGACGAUCCCUAGCUGGUCUGAGAGGAUGACCAGCCACACUGGAACUGAGACACGGUCCAGACUCCUACGGGAGGCAGCAGUGGGGAAUAUUGCACAAUGGGCGCAAGCCUGAUGCAGCCAUGCCGCGUGUAUGAAGAAGGCCUUCGGGUUGUAAAGUACUUUCAGCGGGGAGGAAGGGAGUAAAGUUAAUACCUUUGCUCAUUGACGUUACCCGCAGAAGAAGCACCGGCUAA